rnacentral:lncRNA from 1 species
CAGAGGCCAAUGCUUUGUCCUGGUCUGACACCUAGUUAGAGGCAGAUGAGAGCUGCUGUCCGGGUUCCCUGGCUACUCAUGUAUUCCUGGUCCCCUUUCCUCUCCUGGCCAGCCUCUGUUCCCAAGCAAGAAAUUCUGUCCUUGCACCUUCCCUCCUGCUCUGGGGCAGUCAAGUUCCCACCUCAUCAGUGUACAUUUCCUCUUCCCCAACAAGCCCUGCGACCCCCAAAAGGGAAACCUGACCUAGUUCCCACCAGCUUACACUGCACCCUUGUACCUCACCUAAGAAAGACUACACAGGGCUGAGUGUGGUGGCUCACACCUGUAAUCUCAGCACUUUGGGAGGCCGAGUGGGGGGAUCAUUUGAGGUCAGGAGUUCGAGACCAGCCUGGCCAAUGUGGUGAAACCCUGUCUCUACCAAAAAUAUAAAAAUUAGCCAGGAAUGGUGGCAGGCACCUGCAGUAGUCCCAGCUACUCGGGAGGCUGAGGCUGGAGAAUCACUUGAACCCAGGAGGCGGAGGUUGCAGUGAGCCGAGAUUGCACUACUGCACUCCAAGCUGGGUGACAGCAAAACUCUGUCAGAAAGAAAGAAAGAAAGAGAGAGAGAGAGAGAAAGAAAGAGAGACAGAGAGAGAGAAAGAGAGAAAGAGAGAAAGAAAGAAAGAAAGAGAGAGAGACUGCACGACUAACUCAACCAGGAGGUGGCUUAUAUCCAGUGGAUUCCCAGUGCCACAGCCUCCUUUCCCUGAGCAUCUGCUUUGUGCCAGCACCACACUCAGCCUGGUAAAGAAUGGAGUGGCAUAAAAUGUGGUCCCUGCCUCUGGGAGUAUAGGAUAGAAUUGGAAGGACAACACACACGUGUGACACACACCACACACACACACACACGCACAAAUUUGCAUGACUAAAACCUGAAAUGGUGAGUAGUCUUUAGAGGUCACUCCCACUGCUGGAAACUUGGGGGGGGUGAUUACAUCACAAAGACUACUUUGCUCAAAUGCCCUCCUUUGCCUAAACACACACCUCCCCACCAGUGCAGCUCAGGGAAGGCUACCUGGAGGAGCAAAGCUGAGAAAGAGGGCAAGUUCCCCUCCCUCCCCUACCCAGCCUGACCAGUUGUUCCCAGGAUCCAUUGUUCUCCCUCCAUAAACAAUAAACAGCACUCAGGGGAGGGAGGGCCCAACACCGGGGUGGGUGGGCGCCCAGCUGCCGUCCUCUGUGCCACAUCAGUAAACAGCAACACAACAAUCAACUGGGCCUUUUUGAUGAAGACAAAACCAUAGAGGAAAACCAUUAGAAGAGGUAAUAAAGGCCCUUCUUAUACAGUUAAUAGAGAGCCUCCUGGAUGGAACAAGACCAGCUGUUGCUACUGAAAAUUUACUUCUGUUUUCAAGUUCAAAUAGAGACUAAAACAUUAUCUUCACGGGAAUUGAUUUUACGUCUUCCAAACACAUAUGCCACCUUAAUUGUGAUUUGUGUGAUAGUUCAGCUGCUGAAAGCUUUCGUUUAUCUCUACCUGGUUAAACAACUUUAAAUAAUAACAAGUCAAUAUAUCUGUUUAUUGACCAGGGUUCUUCUCAUCCCCAGAGCACACUGUUGAAGAAGAAGGUACUUAACCCUUUGUUUCCCUAGCCCUGCCACAUAUCUCAUUUUUCACAUUCUCAAUGGGGAGAUAUAAUUGUUUAAAAAAUGGAAUGAAGCCGGGUGGCAUGGCUUACACUUGUAAUUCCAGCUAUUUGGGAGGCUAAGGCAGGAGGAUUGCUCGGGGCCAGGAGUUCAAGACCAGUCUAGGCAACAUAGUGAGACCCCAUCUCUACAAAAAAUUAAAAACUAACACCCCUGUGUUCCUGACUACUCAGAAGGUUGAGGCAGGAGGAUCACUUGAGCCCAGGAGUCAGAAGCUGCGGUGAGCUAGGACUGGGCCACUGCACUCCAUCAUGGGUGACAGAAUGAGACCCUGUCUCAAAAAUAAACAUAAAAAAAUAAAGAAUAAGGACAUAUAGGGCCUUCUGUGAUGUGCUUUCUCAUGGUGGGUUUGGGCUUUUUUAGCCUUAAUGCAUUCCUUAAAAGAUUUUUUUAAGCGAUUUUUGUCAAACUCCUUGGCUAAACUAAACUAAAAGUAAAAUGGAAACUGAAUUUCCUCAUUCAUUUUACUUAGAGAAAGUGUUUUUGGACUGAGAUUGAGAAAUGAGUAUUAAAGAUGGCAGCUUGUUUUAGAAGACCUACAUAAACAAACAAACAUGGCCUUUCAAUAGUGUUUCUUCUAAGGUAUGCCUCUUCUCUAGAAGGGCUUGAUGUCCUAUGAAGUGAGGUGGGGAGGAGGGGAAAAGCGAGUUUCUUUUUUUGGUGUGAACUUAAGCCUAGAAUACUUCAAAUAGUGAAAUUUUGUUGGUAAUGAUGGUGAUAGGGUAAAGUUUGGCUUUUUCUUGGUUUUUGUUUUUGCGGGACUCCAUCAUGGAUCACCCAAUAGGAAGCCAAGAAUGAAGCAGACUGGGAAUGCGAGAGCUCUUGUAGCCAAUGCCCAGCCCUGCAAAUCUGCCAGGGAAGCAGAACAGAGCCAAGUGGAAGUAGUGUCCUACUGGGCAGGGUUGGGCGUCUCUCCCUUAUCCAGUGGGGUCUGCUCCUUGGAGUCAAGGGUCUGUCAUGCAUCCGAGGGUUUGGGGUCUAUCUCUCCUCAGGAUGACCCAAUGUUCAGAUGGCAAGGAGAAGGCACUGCCCACAGCCCCAGCUCUCCAUGUGACCACCUACCACAAGAGUACCUCCCUGCAGUGUCGGCUUGGCUUAUGAACCACAAGCACACAGGGAGGGGUGCGGAUGGGGAAUCUCCCACCUGCAUCUGGUCUGCUGGGUAAAAUCCAACUGGUGUCAGUGCAGUCCAAGUCACCGGGAGACAUGCAGUUUGUGCUUCUGGGAGGAAGAAAGGGAAAUACAAACAGUGCACACCAUUCUCUGUUAACUGCCCUGGGAAUGAAGAGGUGAGGCAGGCUGUAUACCACAGCAGGUGUACAUCAGGUGUACAGUUCGGGAUCCAUUCAUUUGUUAGGAGUGUUUUCUAGUUUUCACUAAGUACUUGAAAGCUUGGCUUCCCGUUACUACCAUCCCAAUUCAGGCCUCCAUUUAAAAUGCACAGCCCCCCAUGUUCUCACUUUCCUUUCUCCCUCCCACUUCUCCCAGUGAGCUCUAUAGCUGCAGAGUAAAUAAUACUGUUAAUAAUAGCAGUACUUAUAACUGACAGAUUGCUUAUAAACAAUGAGCUGCCAAGGUAGGAAGCAAUCAUUAAUGGCUAAUUGGGAAAGACUUCUCGGGUUUGUGUGUUCACCUGAUAAUGUACGUUUCUCGACUCUUUUGAGUUUGUGUUCCCUGUAUUUUUCUGCAGGGCAUGAACUGUGCAUCAAUUCCCUUUGUAUUCCCAACAAUGAAUGAGUGAGUGAACAAAUGAAUGAAUGAAUCCAUUUGUUGUUUCUUUUAAUCCAUAGCCUGCUUCAUUGGGUAUGCAAACUUCCUCUUUUAAUGUUGACAUUGAAAUGCCAUCUGUACCAAGACUUUUUAGAUGCCAUUAUGAAAGUGACUCCCUGCUGUCCACGUUUUAUGGUGCCCUGUGUCUAUUAAACUUAUGUCUAUAAAUACCUA